GGAGGUGUAGCUCAAGUGGUAAAGCACUUGCUUUGCAAGCACCAGACCCAGGGUUCAAGCCCCAGUACUCCUG
rnacentral:tRNA from 1 species